rnacentral:lncRNA from 1 species
UGGGCUCUUGUCUCUGAGGAAAAUGAAAAUAUACGGCUAACUGAAGAUAAUCAGGAAUUUUUGCUGCCCCAAACCACUAUCCCUUGUCCUCCUUAUGGGAUAUACAUUGCCUCAAAGAGAUACAUUACAGAUUUUGAGCAUCUGAAGCCUCAGUAAAUAUAAGAACAUGCUACUUUUGGCCAACAAAAACUUAAUCCUGAAGAAGUUUUGGACAUACAAUUUAUUUCAUAAAC